rnacentral:rRNA from 1 species
GCCAGACUCCUACGGGAGGCAGCAGUGGGGAAUAUUGCACAAUGGGGGAAACCCUGAUGCAGCGACGCCGCGUGAGUGAAGAAGUAUUUCGGUAUGUAAAGCUCUAUCAGCAGGGAAGAAAAUGGCGGUACCUGAUUAAGAAGCCCCGGCUAACUACGUGCCAGCAGCCGCGGUAAUACGUAGGGGGCAAGCGGUAUCCGGAUUUACUGGGUGUAAAGGGAGCGUAGACGGUGAUGCAAGUCAGAAGUGAAAGCCCGGGGCUCAACUCCGGGACUGCUUUUGAAACUGUGUAACUGGAGUGCAGGAGAGGUAAGCGGAAUUCCUGGUGUAGCGGUGAAAUGCGUAGAUAUCAGGAGGAACACCAGUGGCGAAGGCGGCUUACUGGACUGUAACUGACGUUGAGGCUCGAAAGCGUGGGGAGCAAACAGGAUUAGAUACCCUUGUAGCA